AAGGAAGCCAGUCCCGGCAGCUUGGGGGCUCCCAGCAGCCCUGUGAAGGGAAGAAGAGAGAAAGGGUGCCCGGUAGCGGCGCCUGGGAAGCACUCUCUCCGUCCUCCCAACGCACUUAGGGAGGAAGAGGUCAAGCCCCCGAUGAGCAACAGUACGCCUGAGACAGAGGACUCGGAAGGGGAAGGGCUUGCUCCGGCUGCGGUUUUGGUGGUGCCAGCUCACAAUUGGACAGGACCCUUGCUCCUAGGCCCCGGGACCCCAGGUGACCCUGGCAGGGGGCGUGUGGUGGACCAAACAGGAAGUGAAAGAGGAAGAGGAGGCUCUGGGGUCCGCAGGCCCCAUCAGCACACGAAUUCAGUGUCCUAGAGAGCGCCGAAUGGGACCCAGGCCCUAAAGGCUCCGGCAGCUCCCGUGGCGCUGCCCUGGAGACAACGCCUCUAAAGCGUGGACCUUUGGACCAAACCGCGGUGGGCUCAGAGAGGGCGGUGAUUCGCCUGAGGUCACACAGCUGGAGUCAGAUUUCCAGUUCACUCCGGCCUGCAAUCCUGUCUGCAUCCCCUGCCGCCUCCCCAACGCCCCCACCAACCAUAGCGCACUCACCCGCAUCCUGUCCCUGCCUGUGUCCCUGUUCCUGCGUCACCGCUGCCAUCGCUGAUUAACUUUCUGUUUGCCUGCGUUAUCUGGACCAGGGCUCUGCCUUUCCAAAGAGCUCACACGUAAACGGAGAAGCAAAUAGUUAUCUAGGGUGGUGACAGACAUUGCUGAGAAGAAAAUGGAGCAGGACAAUGGAGUGGAGAGUGAUACAGAGAGGAAAAGAGAAAUGCAGGCUCCCUUCCCACGAGGUCCCCCAGUGCUCACCGGGGCUUCUCCAGUGACAGCCGAGGACUACCGGGGUCAGGCAUGGCUGCUUUAAGGGACACUGCGCCAGAAAAAGGGAGUGAGGUGGAAGAAUUCCUUUUCUUCCUUUGCGUUGUUGAAGAGUGAAAGCACAGGUCUCAUUUUCUAUGCAAGUCCACCAGAACCAGUGGUGCUGACAAGGAGCUGACCCUUCACGGCCAUGCUGGGUCCAGUUCCCUCCAAGGGACCAUCGCCAUCCUGGCAAGGCUCGGGGGCUGGGAUGGGGAGGCCCUGCUCCGGGUCCCUGGGAGACAGACUCCUUCCCACACCCACACCCAGACUCCUCCUCCGAUACCUCCCUCACCGCAUCCCCAUUGCGGGUCCCUGGGGCCCAGCAACUUUGGGGGCUGCUUCCUCUUGCCUGGCCCUGGCAGCUUUAUUUCAAACUGAGGCGCGAUUACAGAUCCAGUUCUUUUUUCCUUUUCCUUUUCAAUAAAGCUGUUUUGUGUCUCCACCGCCCCCCUCUGCUGCAUUCCUCCCAUCUGAGUCGUCCCCUUGCCCCUCCUGUAGGAAAUGUCUCGGAUUCUCUCACUGGGGUGUAAUGGUUAAAUUGCUACCAGCUGAUUAAACAGCAGCAGCGAAGAAACUGUAAUCCUCAGCCUGGGGAACCUGGGAAGGCAGGGAAUGAAGACCAGAUGACAAAGAGGCGCCCCUGCCCUGGCCCUUCCUCCUGGGAAAUCUUUCCCACACCUGCCCCCCACUCAGGAAGGAGCGGAAAGACAGGAGCAAGAGAUCAGAGAGGGCUCUCUUGGAAGACGGAAAAGGCAGGCUUGGGGUUUUCUCCACCCAACCGAAACGAGAUCAUGAAGUCAGUGCUGACUUUCUUGGAGCCUCUCUGAGCCUCGUUUGUAGGUAGGGACAGUGGCCUUGCAAGGGGGCCACAAGGAUCGAGGGUCUAAUGCACCUCAGAGCACCCACCCGACCCUGAGUUAUGAGAAUGAACUGCUGAGAUUGGGGUGCAACGCAACCGAAAUAGCCUCCCAACAAGGGCCACCGGAAAAGCCAUGUGCCUCUGGGCUGCUUGCUGGACUCUCCGAUCCUUACCUCUUCACCUGCAAAUUGGCCUGGGACAGCUGGGGGAGCCCCCGGGUGUUCCAGAGUCAAUGGGUACCAGGAUCCCACCAGAGAGUAGCUCUGUCCCCUGUCAGCUCAGGCUGUGGGCUAAGAAUAGCAGGGCAACCAGCCUCCUUGGGAAAGUUUAUUUCUGUGGAAAGUCUAGUUCAGUCGAGUGGAGAAUCUGGCCUUGAUUUCCCCCCCACGCCCCCCACACCCCGCUCAGAAACCAGACAGACGUGUGCCCGGAUGAAGGAGGAACUGAUGCACGGCGUGGGAGAAGUGGCCACCCGUCUCGGCAGCGACCUUUCUCUUUCCACUGGGGAGAAAAGGCCACCACGUGGGAGACGAGAAGGCAGAGGGUCUGGCCACCAAGGGCUGCAGGCUCAUUGUCCCUGGUCUGAUUUUCCAGGAGACAGGCAGAACCACUCCUAGAGGCUGCCCCAUAAAACCCCCAAGAAGGUAAUUAAGUCCAUCUCAGCUGGCUCCUCGCAGCCCCAUUAUUCUUCCUUGGUGGACCUGAAGGUCUCAGUCUUUGAUCUUCUGCCCUGCGGC
ensembl:lncRNA